UUUUGAAGACCUCUAGAAGCUAGAUCAUCUCUUGUGCUGAUUACUACUGGUCUUAGGGAGGCAGAUUUUCCAAUGAAUCUAUAUAUCUAGGUUUUCCAGUUCCUAUGAAUAAAUCAAAUGUCGCAAUGCUAGACACUCUUAGGUGCUGAAAGUCAACAGGAAAUUGGGUUGAUGAAAGUCUAGGGCGUUCAUCAUGUUAACUCAAGGCCGGGGAAAGUUUGUGCUCAUGAUCAUCAAACCCAUGUUGUCUAGCUGCCCACAAAUUUUCUUUGCGUUGAAUACUAGGAAAAAGUGUAAAAAGGUUUCUAAAGUGGUUGCUGACUUUUCUUGGGGGUGAUGAGUUAUCUUGAGCAAAGAUCAUGAUGCGUUAUUCUUUGGAGAGUUGGCUGCAUUUCUGUGGAAAUUCUUUGUUGUUGCAUUUUAGAAUGUAUAUGGCUCAAGAUAACAGUCAUUUUGCAUGCUUUGUUAACGUGUUUCAUUAGCUGGUCCGUUUAGGAGAUCAUGUCAAGCAAGAAUGGAGAAGAAAUUGGAGGAUAAGGCAUCUGUUUGUUAAUUCAAGGUCAAAGUUUUACUGGUUGAAGCUAUUUCUAAAACAGGCAAGGCAAAAGUUGUCUCUCAGCUCAUGUAAUGUGGUUUUGUUCAACAACAAUAAUAAUAAUGUAUUUUUCUAUA